rnacentral:rRNA from 1 species
CGUAGGGUGCAAGCGUUAAUCGGAAUUACUGGGCGUAAAGCGUGCGCAGGCGGUUUUAUAAGUCUGAUGUGAAAUCCCCGGGCUCAACCUGGGAACUGCAUUGGAGACUGUAAGGCUAGAGUGUGUCAGAGGGGGGUAGAAUUCCACGUGUAGCAGUGAAAUGCGUAGAUAUGUGGAGGAAUACCGAUGGCGAAGGCAGCCCCCUGGGAUAACACUGACGCUCAUGCACGAAAGCGUGGGGAGCAAACAGGAUUAGAUACCCCGGUAGUCCACGCCCUAAACGAUGUCUACUAGUUGUCGGGUCUUAAUUGACUUGGUAACGCAGCUAACGCGUGAAGUAGACCGCCUGGGGAGUACGGUCGCAAGAUUA